rnacentral:rRNA from 1 species
AACGAACGCUGGCGGCAGGCCUAACACAUGCAAGUCGAGCGAGGACUUCGGUCCUAGCGGCGGACGGGUGAGUAACGCGUGGGAACGUGCCCUUUGCUUCGGAAUAGCCCUGGGAAACUGGGAGUAAUACCGGAUGAGCCCUUUGGGGGAAAGAUUUAUCGGCGAAGGAUCGGCCCGCGUUGGAUUAGGUAGUUGGUGGGGUAAUGGCCUACCAAGCCGACGAUCCAUAGCUGGUGGGGGAGGAUGAUCAGCCACACUGGGACUGAGACACGGCCCAGACUCCUACGGAGGGGAGCAGUAGGGAGUCUUAGACAAUGGGGGAAGCCGUGAUCAAGCCAUGCCGCGUGAGCGAUGAAGGCCUUAGGGUUGUAAAGCUCUUUCAGCUGGGAAGAUAAUGACGGUACCAGCAGAAGAAGCCCCGGCUAACUCCGUG